UACGUAGGGGGCAAGCGUUGUCCGGAUUUAUUGGGCGUAAAGAGCGUGUAGGCGGCCAUACAGGUCCGUUGUGAAAACUGGAGGCUUAACCUCCAGACGUCGAUGGAAACCGUAUGGCUAGAGUCCGGAAGAGGAGAAUGGAAUUCCCGGUGUAGCGGUGAAAUGCGCAGAUAUCGGGAAGAACACCCGUGGCGAAGGCGGUUCUCUGGGACGGUACUGACGCUGAGACGCGAAAGCGUGGGGAGCGAACAGG
rnacentral:rRNA from 1 species